rnacentral:rRNA from 1 species
GACGAACGCUGGCGGCGUGCUUAACACAUGCAAGUCGAACGGGCCCGCUCUCUUUUUUGGGGGUGGGUUGAGUGGCGAACGGGUGAGUAUCACGUGAGUAACCUGCCCCCUGCUCCUGGAUAACUGCUUGAAAGGGCGGCUAAUACGGGGUGUGCCGGCUGGUCCGCAUGGGCCUGGUCGGGAUAGUUUCAUCUUCGGGUGUUUCGGUGGGGGAUGGGCUCGCGGCCUAUCAGCUUGUUGGUGGGGUGAUGGCCCACCAAGGCGGUGACGGGUAGCCGGCCUGAGAGGGUGGGCGGCCACACUGGGACUGAGACACGGCCCAGACUCCUGCGGGAGGCAGCAGUGGGGGGUAUUGCACAAUGGACGGAAGCCUGAUGCAGCGACGCCGCGUGAGGGAUGGAGGCCUUCGGGUUGUGAACCUCUUUCUCCGGUGGUGAAGGCCCUGUCCGUUGCGGCGGGGUUGACGGUAGCCGGGUAUGAAGCGCCGGCUAACUACGUG